GUCACUUCAGUCUAGUUAACCACAAUUGUAAUUUUUAUAUUAUAAAUCUAUAUCAUAAUUUUUUUUUUUGAUAUGGAGACAAAUGACCUUUGUUGGUUUGACCAAUAAGGGUGUUGACUAUUAUGGAGAGGAGUACUUAGAGUUUUCAUCUUUCUUGAUCUUUACUUAGAUGAAUAGAAUAACAAAAACAGCAAUGCACUUGAGGGCUUAUUUUUUUCCUUGAUUUUU
rnacentral:misc_RNA from 1 species